rnacentral:rRNA from 1 species
UCCGUAGGUGAACCUGCGGAAGGAUCAUUAUUGAAUAAAUCUGAUCAGUUGUAGCUGGCUCUCCGGAGCAUGUGCACAUUGAUCACCUUUAUCUUUCCACCUGUGAACACACUGUAGUCCUGGAUACCUCUCGCCGCAAGGCGGAUGCGUGGUUUGCUGUGCUAGCUCGCAAGAGUCGGUCGGCUUACUACGAAUUUCCAGGUCUAUGAUUUAUACAAACCCCAAACGUAUGUUAUAGAAUGUCAUCAUUGGGCCUCGUGCCUAUAAACCUAUACAACUUUCAGCAACGGAUCUCUUGGCUCUCGCAUCGACGAAGAACGCAGCGAAAUGCGAUAAGUAAUGUGAAUUGCAGAAUUCAGUGAAUCAUCGAAUCUUUGAACGCAUCUUGCGCUCGUUGGUAUUCCGACGAGCAUGCCUGUUUGAGUGUCAUUAAAUUCUCAACCUCACCACUUUUGUAAUGAGAGUGUGUGUUGGCUUGGAUGUGGGGGUUUGCAGGUCCACUCUUUUGUGGUCUGCUCCUCUGAAAUGUAUUAGUGGGUUUGGUCCCCUAAUCUAUUGGUGUGAUAAUUAUCUACGCCGUGGAUUGGAAGACUAUUAUGAACCUGCUUCUAACCGUCCCUUACACGGACAAUACUUGACAUUUUUGACCUCAAAUCAGGUAAGACUACCCGCUGAACUUAAGCAUAUCAAUAAGCGGAGGA